rnacentral:rRNA from 1 species
AAUCUAACCCUUUGGGUGGGGGAAGUAACCAGUCGAAAGAUUGGCUAAUACCGCAUAAUGCAGCGGCUCGACAUCGAGACAGUUGUUAAAGCAGCAAUGCGCCUAAGGAGGAGCCUGCGGCAGAUUAGCUAGUUGGUAAGGUAAUGGCUUACCAAGGCUACGAUCUGUAACCGGCCUGAGAGGGCGGUCGGUCACACUGACACUGACAUACGGGUCAG